rnacentral:rRNA from 1 species
AGGUAAUUCCCCGCCCCAAUAGUGUAUAUUAGAGUUGUUGCAGUUAAAAAGCUCGUAGUUGGAUUUCUGUCGUGGUCAUCCGGUUCCGCCCGUAUGGGUGUGCACCUGGAUUGACCUCGGCAUUCUUCCGGUUGCAUAUCACGCUUAAUUGCGUGAUUUGUUUUUCCGGAACAUUUACUUUGAGAAAAAUAGAGUGUUUCAAGCAGGCUUGUCGCCUUGAAUACUGCAGCAUGGAAUAAUAAGAUAGGACCUUGGUUCUAUUUUGUUGGUUUCUAGGACUAGGGUAAUGAUUAAUAGGGACAGUUGGGGGCAUUCGUAUUUAACUGUCAGAGGUGAAAUUCUUAGAUUUGUUAAAGACGAACUACUGCGAAAGCAUUUGCCAAGGAUGUUUUCAUUAAUCAAGAACGACAGUAGGGGGUUUGAAGACGAUUAGAUACCGUCGUAAUCUCUACCAUAAACUAUGCCGACUAGAGAUAGGGAAAUGCCUACCUUGCUUUCUCCUGAGA